rnacentral:rRNA from 1 species
UAAGGAAUAUUGGUCAAUGGAGGCAACUCUGAACCAGCCAUGCCGCGUGCAGGAAGACUGCCCUAUGGGUUGUAAACUGCUUUUAUCCGGGAAUAAACCUUUCUACGUGUAGAGAGCUGAAUGUACCGGAAGAAUAAGGAUCGGCUAACUCCGUG